GAUGAACGCUAGCGGCAGGCUUAACACAUGCAAGUCGAGGGGUAGAGGAAGCUUGCUUCCUUGAGACCGGCGCACGGGUGCGUAACGCGUAUGCAAUCUACCUUGUACAGGGGGAUAGCCCAGAGAAAUUUGGAUUAAUACCCCAUAGUAUAAUUGAAUGGCAUCAUUUAAUUAUUAAAGUUCCAACGGUAUAAGAUGAGCAUGCGUCCCAUUAGCUAGUUGGUGUGGUAACGGCACACCAAGGCGACGAUGGGUAGGGGUCCUGAGAGGGAGAUCCCCCACACUGGUACUGAGACACGGACCAGACUCCUACGGGAGGCAGCAGUGAGGAAUAUUGGUCAAUGGGCGCAAGCCUGAACCAGCCAUGCCGCGUGCAGGAUGACGGUCCUAUGGAUUGUAAACUGCUUUUGUACAGGAAGAAACACUCCCUCGUGAGGGAGCUUGACGGUACUGUAAGAAUAAGGAUCGGCUAACUCCGUGCCAGCAG
rnacentral:rRNA from 1 species